CCUACGGGAGGCAGCAGUGAGGGAUAUUGGUCAAUGGGGGAAAGCCUGAACCAGCAAAGCCGCGUGAGGGAAGACGGUGUUCGGAUUGUAAACCUCUGUCCUCCGUGAAGAAAAUGACGGUAGCAGAGGAGGAAGCUCCGGCUAACUACGUGCCAGCAGCCGCGGUACUACGUAGGGAGCCAGCGUUGUCCGGAUUUAGUGGGUGUAAAGGGUGCGUAGGCGGCCCUGCAAGUGAGACGUGAAAUCCAUGGGCUUAACCCGUUAACCGCUUUUGAAACUGUAGGGCUUGAGUGAAGUAGAGGCACGCGGAAUUCCCGGUGUAGCGGUGAAAUGCGUAGAGAUCGGGCGGAACACCAGUGGCGAAGGCGGCCUGCUGGGCUUUAACUGACGCUGAAGCACGAAAGCGUGGGUAGCAAACAGGAUUAGAUACCCCAGUAGUC
rnacentral:rRNA from 1 species